AGACCCCACACCACACACUACCCCCAUAAACACACAUUGCCCCCAUACACAUUGCCCCCAUACACACACACUGUACCCCUCACACUCACUACCCAGCCACACACACUGCCCCCACCACACACACACUGUACCCCUCACACAACCUGCCCCCCACACAAACACUAUACCCCUCACACACACACUGCCCGACAUACACACACACUGCACCCCUCACUCACACACACACACACAAACUACAUCCUUCACAAACACAAUGCACCCCUCACACACACACACACACACACACUGCACCCCUGUACACACCAAUGCACAUGCACCUCUCACACACAAUCCACCACUCACACACACAUAUUGCACCCCAUACACAUACACACAAACUACAGCCCCUACAGACAGUAGUUAAACAGUUUGACUACUUACCCUGGGAGGGUACUACGGCAAUACUGACACCAUAACCACUUUAAAUAAUCUACCAGUGCCAUACCUGAAUGGCAAGCAUUUCUGCCAAACAGGGGCCCAGUAUAGGCUGCAGCGCUGUACACAUGGGCAUCCGCAAG